GAUGAACGCUGGCGGCGUGCCUAAUACAUGCAAGUCGAGCGAACAGACGAUGAUCUUGCUCCUCUCACGUGAGCCGCGGGCGUGUGUGUAACACGUGUAUAACCUACCUAUAAUACGGGGAUAACUUCGGAAAACCGGAUCUUAUAGCGUAGAAUAUCUUGAUGCACAUUGUUCAAUGGUGAAAUACGGUUGUUCUGUCUCUUCUCGAUGCAUCCGCGCCGCUUUAGCUAGUAGGUGAGUUAACGGCCUACCAAGGGGACGAUGCGUAGCCGACCUGAGAGGGUGAUCGGCCACACGGGAGCGGAGCCGCGGUCCAGGCUCCUGCGGGAGGCAGCAGUAGGGAAUCUUACGCAAUGGGCGAAAGCCUGACGGAGCAAGGCCGCGUGAGUGAUGAAGGUCUUCGGAUCGUGAAACUCGGUUAUUAGGGAAGAACAAAUGUGUAAGUAACUAUGCACGUAGUGACGGUAACUAGUAAGAAAGCCACGGCUAACUACGUG
rnacentral:rRNA from 1 species